rnacentral:misc_RNA from 1 species
CGCACAUUGCGCCCUCCGGUAGCCCGGGGGGCACGCCUGUCCGAGCGUCAUUUCAGACCAUCAAGCCCCAGCUUGGCCUUGGGCGCCUUCGCCCCCUCCCCAGCGGGGGCGCGCCCCAAAUCGGUCGGCGGCGGCAUCCGAGCCCCAAAGCGCAGAGGAAUUCAUUCCACAGCUUUGCGAAGGCCCGCGACGCCAGCAUGCCACGAAAGAAAUCGAGGGCGCCGAAAGGCACCCCCGCGACCUCAAAGGUUGACCUCGGAUCAGGUGAGGGUACCCGCUGAACUUAA